rnacentral:rRNA from 1 species
UGGGGAAUAUUGCACAAUGGGCGCAAGCCAGAUGCAGCCAUGCCGCGUGUAUGAAGAAGGCCUUCGGGUUGUAAAGUACUUUCAGCGGGGAGGAAGGGAGUAAAGUUAAUACCUUUGCUCAUUGACGUUACCCGCAGAAGAAGCACCGGCUAACUCCGUGCCAGCAGCCGCGGUAAUACGGAGGGUGCAAGCGUUAAUCGGAAUUACUGGGCGUAAAGCGCACGCAGGCGGUUUGUUAAGUCAGAUGUGAAAUCCCCGGGCUCAACCUGGGAACUGCAUCUGAUACUGGUAAGCUUGAGUCUCGUAGAGGGGGGUAGAAUUCCAGGUGUAGCGGUGAAAUGCGUAGAGAUCUGGAGGAAUACCGGUGGCGAAGGCGGCCCCCUGGACGAAGACUGACGCUCAGGUGCGAAAGCGUGGGGAGCAAACA